GCCCGGAUGGCGGAACUGGUAGACGCAAGGGACUUAAAAUCCCUCGGUCCAUGCGACUGUGAGAGUUCGAUUCUCUCUCCGGGCACCA
rnacentral:tRNA from 1 species